GCAGCAGCCGCGGUAAUACGGAGGGUGCAAGCGUUAAUCGGAAUUACUGGGCGUAAAGCGCACGCAGGCGGUCUGACAAGUCAGAUGUGAAAUCCCCGGGCUUAACCUGGGAACUGCAUUUGAAACUGUCAGGCUGGAGUCUUGUAGAGGGGGGUAGAAUUCCAGGUGUAGCGGUGAAAUGCGUAGAGAUCUGGAGGAAUACCGGUGGCGAAGGCGGCCCCCUGGACAAAGACUGACGCUCAGGUGCGAAAGCGUGGGGAGCAAACAGGAUUAGAUACCCGUGUAGUCCCUGUCUCUUAUAC
rnacentral:rRNA from 1 species